CAGUAGCCACGGUAAUACGUAGGGAGCAAGCGUUGUUCGGAUUUACUGGGCGUAAAGGGCGCGUAGGCGGCGCGGUAAGUCACUUGUGAAAUCUCUGAGCUUAACUCAGAACGGCCAAGUGAUACUGCUGUGCUAGAGUGCGGAAGAGGCAACCGGAAUUCUUGGUGUAGCGGUGAAAUGCGUAGAUAUCAAGAGGAACACCUGAGGCGAAGGCGGGUUGCUGGGCCGACACUGACGCUGAUGCGCGAAAGCCAGGGGAGCAAACGGGAUUAGAGACCCCUGUAGUCCCUGUCUCUUAUAC
rnacentral:rRNA from 1 species